GGCAGCAUGACGAUAGCUUGCUAUUGUUGAUGGCGACCGGCGCACGGGUGAGUAACGCGUAUCCAACCUGCCCUUGUCCAUCGGAUAACCCGUCGAAAGGCGGCCUAACACGAUAUGCAGUCCACAGAAGGCAUCUGACGCGGACGAAAUGUGAAGGAGAAGGAUGGGGAUGCGUCUGAUUAGCUUGUUGGCGGGGUAACGGCCCACCAAGGCGACGAUCAGUAGGGGUUCUGAGAGGAAGGUCCCCCACAUUGGAACUGAGACACGGUCCAAACUCCUACGGGAGGCAGCAGUGAGGAAUAUCGGUCAAUGGGCGAGAGCCUGAACCAGCCAAGUAGCGUGCAGGAAGACGGCCCUAUGGGUUGUAAACUGCUUUUAUGCGGGGAUAAAGUGAGCCCACGUGUGGCUUAUUGCAGGUACCGCAUGAAUAAGGACCGGCUAAUUCCGUGCCAGCAGCCGCGGUAAUACGGAAGGUCCGGGCGUAAUCCGG
rnacentral:rRNA from 1 species